rnacentral:misc_RNA from 1 species
GAGUGGCAAGGUCUUGGUGGCAACAAUCUUACUAGUGGUACAACAAUACUUUCAGCAAUUAAGGAUACAGUUGACCCUAAAACAAAAGUUGUCUUUGAAGAGAAUCCAGAUGCAGAGUUGGUCAAGUCAAACAAAUUUUCUUAUGCCAUUGUUGUGGUAGGAGAGCAUCCAUAUGCGGAAACUUUUGGUGACAGCUUAAAUUUAACCAUUCCUGACCCUGGUCCAAGC